rnacentral:rRNA from 1 species
AUUGAUUAGUGGCGCACGGGUGAGUAAUGCAUAGAUAACAUGCCCUUUAGUUUGGGGAUAGCCACUAGAAAUGGUGAUUAAAUACCAGAUACUACCUUACGGGGGAAAGAUUUAUCGCUAAAGGAUUGGUCUAUGUCCUAUCAGCUUGUUGGUGAGAUAAAGGCUCACCAAGGCUAUGACGGGUAUCCGGCCUGAGAGGGUGAACGGACACACUGGAACUGAGACACGGUCCAGACUCAUACGGGAGGCAGCAGUAGGGAAUAUUGCUCAAUGGGGGAAACCCUGAAGCAGCAACGCCGUCGUGGAGGAUGAAGGUUUUAGGAUGUAAACUCCUUUGUUAGUAGUGGUAUA